CCCCUCUCAGGGUCACACCUGGAAAGUUUCCAGUACUCUAUCAGUCUCGGCAACAGUAGGGAAAGCCAAGCAGAGGCAUACCCAUUCCAUUCCCAGCUUGGGCAGUGGCUAGCGAGUGGAAGGCAAUCCGCUACAAGU